UACGAAGGGGGCUAGCGUUGUUCGGAAUCACUGGGCGUAAAGGGCGCGUAGGCGGCUAUUCAAGUCGGGGGUGAAAGCCUGUGGCUCAACCACAGAAUUGCCUUCGAUACUGUUUGGCUUGAGACCGGAAGAGGACAGCGGAACUGCGAGUGUAGAGGUGAAAUUCGUAGAUAUUCGCAAGAACACCAGUGGCGAAGGCGGCUGUCUGGUCCGGUUCUGACGCUGAGGCGCGAAAGCGUGGGGAGCAAACAGG
rnacentral:rRNA from 1 species